GAAAUGCGAUAAGUAAUGUGAAUUGCAGAAUUCAGUGAAUCAUCGAAUCUUUGAACGCACAUUGCGCCCGCCAGUAUUCUGGCGGGCAUGCCUGUUCGAGCGUCAUUACAACCCUCAGGCCCCCGGGCCUGGCGUUGGGGAUCGGCGGAAGCCCCCUGCGGGCACAACGCCGUCCCCCAAAUACAGUGGCGGACCCGCCGCAGCUUCCAUUGCGUAGUAGCUAACACCUCGCAACUGGAGAGCGGCGCGGCCACGCCGUAAAACACCCAACUUCUGAAUGUUGACCUCGAAUCAGGUAGGAAUACCCGCUGAACUUAAGC
rnacentral:misc_RNA from 1 species